rnacentral:rRNA from 1 species
GACGAACGCUGGCGGCGUGCUUAACACAUGCAAGUCGAACGGGAUGUAGUAGACAGCGGCCUCGGCUAAAGAGGACUACUGAGAGUGGCGAACGGGGGAGUAACGCGUGAGCAACCUGCCUAUGACAGUGGGAUAGCCUCGGGACACCGGGAUUAAUACCGCAUAAAAUCGUAGAAACACAUGUUUUAACGGUCAACGAUUUAUCGGCCAUAGAUGGGCUUGCGUCUGAUGAGCUGGUUGGUGAGGUAACAGCCCACCAAGGCGACGGACAGGAGCUGGGGUGGUAGCAGGCACGGUCGCAUUUGAACUGCGACACGGUCCACAAUCCUACGGGACGCAGCAGUGGGUAAUAUUGUACAAGGGGGGAAGACCUGAUGAAGCGGCGCCGGGGAAACGAAGCUGGUAUUCGUAUCGUAAAGUUCUCUCCUAUGGGAAGAUAAUGACAGUACCAGAGAAGAAAGCACCGGCUAACUACGUG